rnacentral:rRNA from 1 species
UGGGGAAUUUUGGACAAUGGGGGCAACCCUGAUCCAGCAAUGCCGCGUGUGUGAAGAAGGCCUUCGGGUUGUAAAGCACUUUUGUCCGGAAAGAAAACGCCGUGGUUAAUACCCGUGGCGGAUGACGGUACCGGAAGAAUAAGCACCGGCUAACUACGUGCCAGCAGCCGCGGUAAUACGUAGGGUGCAAGCGUUAAUCGGAAUUACUGGGCGUAAAGCGUGCGCAGGCGGUCCGCUAAGACAGAUGUGAAAUCCCCGGGCUUAACCUGGGAACUGCAUUUGUGACUGGCGGGCUAGAGUAUGGCAGAGGGGGGUAGAAUUCCACGUGUAGCAGUGAAAUGCGUAGAGAUGUGGAGGAAUACCGAUGGCGAAGGCAGCCCCCUGGGCCAAUACUGACGCUCAUGCACGAAAGCGUGGGGAGCAAACAGGAUUCAGAUACCCUGGUAGUCCACGCCCUAAACGAUGUCAACUAGUUGCCGGGUCUUCAUUGACUUGGUAACGUAGCUAACGCGUGAAGUUGACCGCCUGGGGAGUACGGUCGC